rnacentral:rRNA from 1 species
UACGGGGGGAGCAAGCGUUGUUCGGAUUUACUGGGCGUAAAGGGCGCGUAGGCGGUCAGCACAAGUCAGUUGUGAAAUCUCCGGGCUUAACUCGGAAAGGUCAACUGAUACUGUGCGACUAGAGUGCGGAAGGGGCAACUGGAAUUCUCGGUGUAGCGGUGAAAUGCGUAGAUAUCGGGAGGAACACCUGAGGCGAAGGCGGGCUACUGGGCCGAUACUGACGCUGAUGCGCGAAAGCCAGGGGAGCGAAACGGGG